AGUGGGGAAUAUUGCACAAUGGGCGCAAGCCUGAUGCAGCCAUGCCGCGUGUGUGAAGAAGGCCUUCGGGUUGUAAAGCACUUUCAGUUGUGAGGAAGGUUGUGUGGUUAAUACCCACAUAAUUUGACGUUAGCAACAGAAGAAGCACCGGCUAACUCCGUGCCAGCAGCCGCGGUAAUACGGAGGGUGCGAGCGUUAAUCGGAAUUACUGGGCGUAAAGCGUACGCAGGCGGCUAAUUAAGCCAGAUGUGAAAUCCCCGGGCUUAACCUGGGAAUGGCAUUUGGAACUGGUUAGCUAGAGUUUUGUAGAGGGUGGUAGAAUUUCAGGUGUAGCGGUGAAAUGCGUAGAGAUCUGAAGGAAUACCAGUGGCGAAGGCGGCCACCUGGACAAGAACUGACGCUCAUGUACGAAAGCGUGGGGAGCAAA
rnacentral:rRNA from 1 species